rnacentral:rRNA from 1 species
AAUGGCCGAGAGGCUGAACCAGCCAAGUCGCGUGAGGGAUGAAGGUUCUAUGGAUCGUAAACCUCUUUUAUAAGGGAAUAAAGUGCGGGACGUGUCCCGUUUUGUAUGUACCUUAUGAAUAAGGAUCGGCUAACUCCGUGCCAGCAGCCGCGGUAAUACGGAGGAUCCGAGCGUUAUCCGGAUUUAUUGGGUUUAAAGGGUGCGUAGGCGGCCUUUUAAGUCAGCGGUGAAAGUCUGUGGCUCAACCAUAGAAUUGCCGUUGAAACUGGGGGGCUUGAGUAUGUUUGAGGCAGGCGGAAUGCGUGGUGUAGCGGUGAAAUGCAUAGAUAUCACGCAGAACCCCGAUUGCGAAGGCAGCCUGCCAAGCCAUUACUGACGCUGAUGCACGAAAGCGUGGGGAUCAAA